rnacentral:rRNA from 1 species
AUACGUAGGGUGCGAGCGUUGUCCGGAAUUACUGGGCGUAAAGAGCUCGUAGGUGGUUUGUCGCGUCGUCUGUGAAAUUCCGGGGCUUAACUCCGGGCGUGCAGGCGAUACGGGCAUAACUUGAGUACUGUAGGGGAGACUGGAAUUCCUGGUGUAGCGGUGAAAUGCGCAGAUAUCAGGAGGAACACCGGUGGCGAAGGCGGGUCUCUGGGCAGUAACUGACGCUGAGGAGCGAAAGCAGGGGUAGCGAACAGGAUUAGAUACCCUGGUAGUCCAUGCCGUAAACGGUGGGCGCUAGGUGUAGGGGUCUUCCACGACUUCUGUGCCGUAGCUAACGCAUUAAGCGCCCCGCCUGGGGAGUACGGCCGCAAGGCUAAAACUCAAAGGAAUUGACGGGG